GCCAUGUUAUUGUGCGUUAAAUAUUGGGUAUAUGUAUAAAUUUAAUUUCGCAUCUUAAAAAAGAUUAGGUCUUUAACUAUCGAAUGUGAUAUUUUAUCUAUCAUUGCGUUAAAAAUUGAACUAACAUUCCGGGGGUCGUAGGUUCGAUUUCCACCGUGGCCAGGCAUGUUUUACGGGCUUGCCCGGUGUGGAUGUACACUCAGAGUAACAUCACAAGCAUCAUAUU